CCUACGGGAGGCAGCAGUGAGGAAUAUUGGUCAAUGGACGAGAGUCUGAACCAGCCACGUAGCGUGAAUGAUGACUGCCCUAUGGGUUGUAAACUUCUUUUAUAAAGGAAUAAAACGCGGCACGUGUGCCUUUUUGCAUGUACUUCAUGAUUAAGGAUCGGCUAAUUCCGUGCCAGCAGCCGCGGUAAUCCGGAGGUACCGAGUGUUAUCCGGAUUUAUUGGGUUUAAAGGGAGCGUAGAUGGGUUGUUAAGUCAGUUGUGAAAGUUUGCGGCUCAACCGUAUAAUUGCAAUUGAUACUGGCAGGCUGGAGUACAGUUGAGGUAGGCGGAAUUCGUGGUGUAGCGGUGAAAUGCUUAGAUAUCACGAAGAACACCGAUUGCGAAGGCAGCUUACUAAACUGUGACUGACAUUGAUGCUCGAAAGUGUGGGUAGCAAACAGGAUUAGAUACCCUAGUAGUC
rnacentral:rRNA from 1 species